UCCCGGGUGGCGAAAUGGUUAUCGCGUCUGACUACGAAUCAGGAGAUUGCAGGUUCAAAUCCUGUCCUGGGUA
rnacentral:tRNA from 1 species